rnacentral:rRNA from 1 species
CAGAAGUGAGAAUAUCGGCUUGAGUAGCGAAAACGCUGGUGAGAAUCCAGCGCCCCGUAAACCUAAGGUUUCCUACGCUACGGCUCAUCCACGUAGGGUUAGUCGGGGCCUAAGACGAGACCAAGGGUGUAGUCGAUGGGCAGAAAGUCAACAUUCUUUCACCACCUUGCUGUGACCGCAGGUGACCGGAGCAACUAGGACAGCCAGUCUGUGGUGUAGCUGGUAUGUUCGGUUGCUCCGCAAGAAAAGCCUGUGUGAGUCAAAACGUUUGGUGCCCGUACCGUAAACCGACACAGGUAGGUGGGUAGAGCAUACUAAGGGGCUCGAGAGAACUCCCUCUAAGGAACUCGGCAAAUUGGCCCCGUAACUUCGGGAGAAGGGGUGCCUAAAGGGUUGAAAUAACCAGGCCCGAGCGACUGUUUACCAAAAACACAGGUCUCCGCUAAGUUGAAAGACGACGUAUGGAGGCUGACGCCUGCCCAGUGCCGGAAGGUUAAGGAGGGGUGUGCGCCCUUGCGGGCACGGCUCUCUUCCGAAGCCCCGGUGAACGGCGGCCGUAACAAUAACGGUCCUAAGGUAGCGAAAUUCCUUGUCGGGUAAGUUCCGACCUGCACGAAUGGCGUAACGAUGGCCACACUGUCUCCACCCGAGACUCAGUGAAAUUGAAAUCGCUGUUAAGAUGCAGUGUACCCGCGGCUAGACGGAAAGACCCCGUGAACCUUUACUACAGCUUCACACGGGACUUUGACGUUAUUUGUGUAGGAUAGCUGGGAGACUUUGAAGCGCGCUCGCUAGGGUGCGUGGAGUCGUCCUUGAAAUACCAGCCUGGUAACGUUGGGGUUCUAACCCAGGUCCAUUAUCUGGAUCGGGGACAGUGUGUGGUGGGUAGUUUGACUGGGGCGGUCGCCUCCUAAAGCGUAACGGAGGCGCGCGAAGGUUGGCUCAGAGCGGUCGGAAAUCGCUCGUUGAGUGCAAUGGCAGAAGCCAGCCUGACUGCGAGACUGACAAGUCGAGCAGAGUCGAAAGACGGCCAUAGUGAUCCGGUGGUCCCGAGUGGAAGGGCCAUCGCUCAACGGAUAAAAGGUACGCCGGGGAUAA